rnacentral:rRNA from 1 species
AGCGAACGCUGGCGGCAGGCUUAACACAUGCAAGUCGAACGGGCAUAGCAAUAUGUCAGUGGCAGACGGGUGAGUAACGCGUGGGAACAUACCUCUUGGUUCGGAACAACACAGGGAAACUUGUGCUAAUACCGGAUAAGCCCUUACGGGGAAAGAUUUAUCGCCGAGAGAUUGGCCCGCGUCUGAUUAGCUAGUUGGUAGGGUAAUGGCCUACCAAGGCGACGAUCAGUAGCUGGUCUGAGAGGAUGAUCAGCCACAUUGGGACUGAGACACGGCCCAAACUCCUACGGGAGGCAGCAGUGGGGAAUAUUGGACAAUGGGCGCAAGCCUGAUCCAGCCAUGCCGCGUGAGUGAUGAAGGCCCUAGGGUUGUAAAGCUCUUUUGUACGGGAAGAUAAUGACGGUACCGUAAGAAUAAGCCCCGGCUAACUUCGUGCCAGCCGCCGCAGUAAU